AGCGGCGGACGGGUGAGUAACGCGUUGGGAACGUGCCCUUCUCUAUGGAAUAGCCACUGGAAACGGUGAGUAAUACCAUAUACGCCCUUCGGGGGAAAGAUUUAUCGGAGAAGGAUCGGCCCGCGUUAGAUUAGGUAGUUGGUGGGGUAAUGGCCUACCAAGCCUACGAUCUAUAGCUGGUUUUAGAGGAUGAUCAGCCACACUGGGACUGAGACACGGCCCAGACUCCUACGGGAGGCAGCAGUGGGGAAUAUUGCACAAUGGGCGAAAGCCUGAUGCAGCCAUGCCGCGUGUGUGAAGAAGGCCUUCGGGUUGUAAAGCACUUUCAGUCAGGAGGAAAGGGUGUGAGUUAAUACCACACAUCUGUGACGUUACUGACAGAAGAAGCACCGGCUAACUCCGUGCCAGCAGCCGCGGUAAUACGGAGGGUGCGAGCGUUAAUCGGAAUUACUGGGCGUAAAGCGUACGCAGGCGGUUUGUUAAGCGAGAUGUGAAAGCCCCGGGCUCAACCUGGGAACUGCAUUUCGAACUGGCAAACUAGAGUGUGAUAGAGGGUGGUAGAAUUUCAGGUGUAGCGGUGAAAUGCGUAGAGAUCUGAAGGAAUACCGAUGGCGAAGGCAGCCACCUGGGUCAACACUGACGCUCAUGUACGAAAGCGUGGGGAGCAAACGGGAUUAGAUACCCUGGUAG
rnacentral:rRNA from 1 species